UACGUAGGGUGCAAGCGUUUCCGGAUUUAUUGGGCGUAAAGAGCGUGUAGGCGGUUCGGUAGGUCCGUUGUGAAAACUCGAGGCUCAACCUCGAGACGCCGAUGGAAACCCUCGAACUAGAGUCCGGAAGAGGAGAAUGGAAUUCCUGGUGUAGCGGUGAAAUGCGCAGAUAUCAGGAAGAACACCCGUGGCUAAGGCGGUUCUCUAGUACGGUACUGACGCUGAGACGCGAAAGCGUGGGGAGCGAACAGG
rnacentral:rRNA from 1 species